GACCUCCCAGCAUUGCGCCUGGAGAGUCAUUAGUAUUCUGCCGUCUUCGGAAACAGGAGGGAAAGCAAACCUGGCAGAGGCACCCAUUCCAUUCACCGCUUGCUCAAGAGCUGGUGACUAGAAGAUACUCUGCAACAAAG